UGCAACCAUUCCUUCCAUCUUCAUUGCAUCUUGAAAUGGGUAAAUUCACAGACUUCUCAAGCACAUUGUCCCAUGUGCCGUAGAGAAUGGCAGUUUAAAGGAUGAAGAAAUCUACUUCCAUCCCAAUUUUUUUUUCCCUUUUUCUUUGUUGUUGUCACUAUUAUUCCUUGUUGGUAUCUUUCUUCUGCAGUGAACCAUAGAAAGAUCAACUUCAGGUUUUCUUUACGUUUUGUUCUUUUAACAAUUGUUCCUGUAAUAUUCAAUAUCAUAUUAUUGCAACUCUUGUCAUUUCUGGAUGUGAACAUUUGGAGUUUGUUAAUAAUAUGUAAUAU
rnacentral:misc_RNA from 1 species